UACAGAGGGUGCGAGCGUUAAUCGGAAUUACUGGGCGUAAAGCGUGUGUAGGUGGUUAGAUAAGUUAGAUGUGAAAUCCCCGGGCUUAACCUGGGCACUGCGUUUAAGACUGUUUAACUAGAGUACUGUAGAGGAUAGUGGAAUUUCCAGUGUAGCGGUGAAAUGCGUAGAUAUUGGAAGGAACACCAGUGGCGAAGGCGACUAUCUGGAUAGAUACUGACACUGAGACACGAAAGCGUGGGGAGCAAACAGG
rnacentral:rRNA from 1 species